GGGAGAAAGAGUGACAGAGGUGAAGGAGCAAGAGAGAGAGUGGGAGUGUGUAUCGCUUUCCCUGGAAUUUUGGGAGGGAGAGAGGGUGCUGUGAGAGAGAGUGCUGUGUGUGUGUGUGUGAGAGAGAGAGAGAGAGAGUGUGUGUGUCAGUGCUCUGUAGAGCUCAGCAUGGGGAUGAGAGACUUCUUCAAAAUCUUCCAGGUGCGGAUUUGAGUGACUCCAGACCGUUUUAAUAAAGAAACGAGGAGGAAGCUAGAGAGAGAGAGAGAGAGAGGAGGUGGGGAGGGCGAAACAGAUUCAAUCCUCGUACAAACUACCCCCAGGAUAUAAAUGGAAGCUGAGUGAGAUGGAGUUCCUGAGGAAGUGAGUGUGUUGUCUUCAGCGUGAGGAGAGUCUCUGAGAAAGAAUGAAGCUUUCCGGAAUUCCCGAGGACUGGACUUGAUGGGAUUUUGUGAACAGCAACUUGCCUUCGCCACUAACUGCCAGCCCAGGCUGCAUGAUCCUCUUUCAAGGUACCUCUACAUGAUCUACAAUGGAAAAGCUGCUCUGGAGCCUGCUGGUGAUUGGAAUGGCGAUGGCAGUCUAUGCUUGUCCCAAAUACUGCGUGUGUCAAAACUUGUCAGAGUCGCUGGGCACUCUGUGUCCCUCCAAGGGUCUUCUGUUUGUCCCACCAAACAUCGAUCGGAGAACCGUUGAGCUCCGGCUGGGGGGCAACUUCAUCUUUUCUGUGAGCCGGCAGGACUUUGCCAAUAUGAGUGGCCUUGUUGAUCUGACUUUGUCCCGGAAUACCAUCGACUACAUCCAGCCCUAUUCGUUCGUCGACCUGGAAAGCCUUCGAUCCUUGCACCUGGACGCCAACAGGUUGACGGAGAUCGGAGGCAACGUGUUCCGGGGCCUGUUGAACUUGCAGCAUUUGAGCUUGAACAACAACCAGCUCCACUGGGUGGCGGAGGGGGCGCUCGACGAUUUCCUGAUGACGCUGGAGGACUUGGACUUCUCCUACAACAACCUGGUGAGGCUGCCCUGGGAAGCGCUGAGCAAGAUGACCAACCUGCACACCCUCAGCCUGGACCACAACCUGAUUGACUACAUCCCUGAGGGAACAUUCACGGAGCUGCAGAAGCUGGCCCGGCUGGACCUCAUCUCCAACAGGCUGCAGAAGCUCCACCCUGACCCCAUCUUUGCCAGGUCUGAGAUGCUGCUCAUGUCCACCACCCCCUACUUCCCACCACUGACCCUCACCCUGGGCGGGAACCCGCUCCAUUGCAACUGCGAGCUGCUCUGGCUGCGGCGGCUGAGCCGGGAGGACGACAUGGAGACCUGCGCCUCCCCGGCUCACCUCAAGGGGCGCUACUUCUGGUACAUCUCGGAGGAGGAGUUUGUGUGCGAGCAGCCUCUCAUCACCCAGCACAGCCUGAAGGUGCUGGUGCUGGAGGGGCAGACGGCCACACUGCGCUGCAAAGCUAUCGGGGACCCCAGGCCGGUCAUCCACUGGGUGGCGCCGGAUGACCGGAUCCUCGCCAACUCCUCCAGGACCGUCAUCUACGAGAACGGCACCCUGGACAUCCUGAUCACCACCUCGCAGGACUACGGCACCUUCACCUGCAUCGCGGCCAAUGCGGCCGGAGAGGCCACUGCGUCGGUCGAGCUCUCCAUCGUGCAGCUCCCUCACCUCAGCAACGGCACCGGGAGGAGCCUGCUGCCCGAUUCCCGGCUCUCCGACAUCACCGGCUCCACCAGGUCGCACCGGGGCGAGGGCAAGGCUGCGCCUGAGAAAAAGGUCACGGUGUCCCAGGUGACAGCCAGCACGGCACUGGUCAAGUGGUCAGUGGGCCACUCCGCACCCAAGGUCAAGAUGUACCAGCUUCAGUACAACAGCUCGUCCGACGAAGUGUUAGUCUACAGGAUGAUUCCUGCUUCGAAUAAGGCCUUUGUUGUGAAGAACCUGGUGUCUGGCUCUGGUUACGAUCUCUGUGUCCUGGCCAUAUGGGAUGACACGGCCACUACUCUGACAGCCACCAAUGUGGUGGGCUGUAUCCAGUUUGUCACCGGAGUGGAUUACAAUCGGUGCAGGUCCUUCCACGGCCACUUUCUGGGCGGCACCAUGAUCCUGGUGAUUGGGGGCGUCAUUGUGGCCUCGCUCUUGGUCUUCAUCAUCACCCUGAUGCUCAAGUACAAGUUUUGCGCCGGCCAGGACAAGAUGGCGGCGGUCAGCGAUGAGUGCUCGCAGACGGCAGCGGCAGCAGCGUCGGCCUUCCCCGUCCACAACGGGAUCCUGCCUCAGUUCCAGCCACCCAAGGCCACUGGGCGUGACGAGCUGCUGGAGUUCAACUGCGGCUCCCUCCGCAGCAGCCUGUCCUCGCCGUCAUCGUCGUCUUCGGGCUCCAGCCGGGACUGCUACAGCCUCCGCAGUGACAGCAGCACCCUCUCUCGCAAGUGGCGGGCCACCUCCAGCAGGCACAACAUCGACCGCCUCAUGGGGGCCUUCGCCUCCCUCGACCUGCGGUGCCAGCGCAAGGAUGAGCAGGAGGCCCGUGACUCCCGGGCGUCCACCCUGGCCCGCUACUCGGACAAGGAGCCGCUGCUGGGCCGCAGCGAGUCACGCCUCAACAAGCUGCUGGCGCUGCCCAUGGAGGGCAAGGCUCGGCGCAGCCACUCCUUCGACAUGGGGGACUUCGCCUCCGGCCAGUGCCUCAGCUACCCCAGGAAGAUCACCAACAUCUGGACUAAGAGGAGCCUGUCGGUCAACGGUGUGCUCGUCCAGUACGACGAGGACGACAUCGAGAUCACCAAAGGGGUCUACUCCAGCUCGGACUGGGUGAUGGAGAGCACCGUUUGAGAAAGGAGCACUUCGGCAUGAGGCAAAGCGAGGAAAUUACCAGGGUGCUUGGUGGGGGGUGGUGGAAUGGUCUGGAGGUGCACGGCGAGAAACUGGGAGUGGCGGCUGUGGUGGGGGAUUUGGUUGAAAUUAAGAGGGAGUUGAGUCACUGUUUUAAAGGGAAGGAUAUCAAAGUCUGCCCAACAAUGCAGACACUGGGUAGCACUCAGGAGCAGGCAGACCUGGGAGAUUUGUCCUUUUCCCUCCUUCAUCCCCAACCCCACCCUCAUCUCCAAUUCCCACUUCUUGAGUGCUUUUCCGAGAAACGACUGGAAUGCAGAAUGGUCCUCCUGGUCUCGGAGACAACGAAACAUUACUUUUACCCCACUGGCUCCUUGACAGACUGUCACCCAAAGCCAAGGUGAGCUGGGGCUUUGAACAUGGCCUGAGCUUUUCCGAUGGACCAGCUGAGCGUGCCAUGCCCAGUAUCACGGUUAGCUUCCCAGACUGACAUGUGCGAAAAGGGUGUGAGGAGGGCUCAACGUUGGUACCAUCAGUGACGCCACAGCGCACACAACAAACCAGAGGGUCAGCACUCCUGCACCACCCCCCUCCCCCUUAGCCAGUGGCCCGGUCAUGUCACUCUCUUCCUUUGCUCUUUCUGGGAUAUGGGCUCCACACGAUGAUGGCUGCCCACCCGUCUCUCCGACAUGAAUCCAUUCAAUGUUUCACUCCAGUCGGUCAGCAGGACAGUGCAAGGUCAGAAAGGCCUAUCACAGCCAAGGAGUUAACACUUCUGUCUGUUUCUGCACCACAGUCCCAACACACAACAAGAAGGGUGCCACAAUUAGUUUGUAUGAGGUGCCACAGAGGCUGCAUGUGAAGUUACUCAGAGUUCCAGAAAUGCAAAAUUAUUGUUCACAAGAAAUCCUCAGUGGUGUUCUCUCAACAGAAAAGGUGGCCUACUUAAUUUAAACAAUGCAAGACUUUGAGGGGAUAAAUCACCCCGAAUAUAUAGAACAGAAAGAGGUCAUUCAACCUUUUCAGUUUAUUCUCACUCUUACAUUCCACACAAGCCCUUUCCCAUCACUGUUUCUCAAACCCCAUAUGCCUCUGUAUCAUCCUAUCAUUGGCCGCCAUGUUCUUAUCCAGCUUCCCCUUAAGUGCAUCAAUGCUAUUUGCCUUGACUACUCCCGGUGGUAAUGGGUUCCAUAUUCUCACCACUCUGUCCUGCAUUAAUCGUCGGAUUUAUGACUGGCUGGUAGAUUUACCGGUCUGUGCCACGAGUGAAAACAAUUUCUCACUUUUGAACUUAGCAAAUCCCUUCACAGCUGCAGAUCAUCUUCUAGGCCGGCUCCAGGUCGUUUGUAGAAAAUCGGAAAAUGAAUUGUCGCUGACUGGACCUGAGAACGGAGGGGAGAUAUUGAAGGAAUUCUUUAAAGCAGGCCAACAGAUGACGGACUGUUUAACUGUAGAUAGAAAUUGAGGAAGAAAUUUAAAAUGAUAAAAGGAAGUUGAAUAAAUAUUUCAAAGGGAAGAAUGCAUGAAAGUUUACCCAAUAGCACUUGCCUGUGCACUCAAUGGACAGAAUUCAAGAGCAGCGAGACUUUUAUGACUUUGUGCCAAAAUGCCUUAUCAGUAAAGCCUUUAAUUCUUCCCAGAGGUUACUUCAAUCACUCUUUAGAAUCCAAUGAUUGAAUGGUGUCAGACAGAGAGAUCAAGGGGGGUGGACAGUGUAAAUAGAAAUAGGCUCCUAGGCCUUGAGCCUCCUUCCUCAUUUGUGGCUUAUCUGCACCUCAAUUCCUUUCAUCGUCAUUGCUCCAUGAUCUGUAACAGCCUUAGCUGACAACAAUCUAUGUCUUGGCAUGUCGGUGUUUCAUUUUUCUUGUCAGUUGACCUGAGGUGUGUUUUAAGGCGAUAAAAGUGUCCUGAAGCUGGAUUGAAAGAGUUUCCUCUGGUGAUGUUUCGCAACAUCCUAUUGGUUCGAACCUACUGAAUGCCAUGUCCAUAAGAGACCUUUAUGAGGUCCAGGGAAUUGACCAAAAUGGAGGAACCUGCUAUCUGAGUGUCUAUUGCUUUGGCUUCAGGUCAUAUCAGGAUGCAAGAAGAUAAAAUAGCAAAGGAAGAAAAAUAUAUGAGGAAUCAUGGGGGAGUGGGGAGGGUGGAUACGUGUCCAAGAAUCACUUGACUGCAGACGAGUGAUUCAACAAUGGGUUUGGUGACAUGCCUCCAAGUCAAUGAACUCGGUCUCAAGCCUCUUCCACUGCCAUGCAUCAGUUUACAACAGAAGCUUCUUCUGUUCUGGAGACACUUCCUUCAAAGGACGUAAAGAAACUACUUUGCAAGUUGGCUGAAACCAAGGGCAUGCAGUCACCAGCGAACAAGAGGCUGCCUUAUCUGAAGCAACCUUUCCCUUAACCCCAGAUGGGGGUGCCAAGGGAGGAAAUGGUGGAAGAUUGUCUGGCCACAAAGGAAACAUGUAUCAAUAUCUCUGAGAAUGUUGUUGAAUAAGCAUUGUACCCUGGUGUACAUAUAUUAUAUAUAUAAAUAUACAUAUAUUUAUUUAUUUAUUUCACUCCCCCUCCAACCCCAGGCUGAAGGGCAGAAUUGCCCUGUGCCAUGUUCAGUAACUGUCUACACGUGACUCUCCCCUUCACGGGUCAUCCUUAUUGCUGCUCUACCAUGUCAGUGUUUUAUGGUCAACCACCUGUGCGAUUGCUGCUUAUACCAUGGACGCAGCCCCUUAUCAGGGUUCAAAAGGGAUUGGGGGGGGGGGGUUCCACCUCACAGAGACUUCCUUUAUUCUCUGGUUGUCUGAUGGUUUUGUUGGAAAGUCGUGCAUUCACUUAUUUUAUACCAGAAGAGGACAGAUAUUGUAUCGCGAGACUUUGUCGUAACGUAGUUUGUUUGUUUUCUAAAAAAAAUUUGGGAGAAAAAUCUACGAGCAUUAAAGUUCUAAGAGCGAUGA